rnacentral:rRNA from 1 species
GAUUAACGCUGGCGGCGUGCUUAACACAUGCAAGUCGAGCGGUAAGGCCCUUUCGGGGGUACACGAGCGGCGAACGGGUGAGUAACACGUGGGUGACCUGCCUUUAGCUCUGGGAUAAGCCUGGGAAACUGGGUCUAAUACCGGAUACGACUCCGCGGUGCAUGCUGUGGGUGGAAAGCCUUGUGCGGCUGGAGAUGGGCCCGCGGCCUAUCAGCUUGUUGGUGGGGUGAUGGCCUACCAAGGCGACGACGGGUAGCCGGCCUGAGAGGGCGACCGGCCACACUGGGACUGAGACACGGCCCAGACUCCUACGGGAGGCAGCAGUGGGGAAUCUUGCGCAAUGGGCGAAAGCCUGACGCAGCGACGCCGCGUGAGGGAUGACGGCCUCGG